UACGUAGGGAGCAAGCGUUGUCCGGAAUCAUUGGGCGUAAAGCGCGCGUAGGCGGCCCUGUAAGUCCGUUGUGAAAGUCAAAGGCUCAACCUUUGAAAGCCGAUGGAUACUGCAGGGCUGGAGUCCGGAAGAGGCGAGUGGAAUUCCUGGUGUAGCGGUGGAAUGCGCAGAUAUCAGGAGGAACACCAAUAGCGAAGGCAGCUCGCUGGGACGGUACUGACGCUGAGGCGCGAAAGCGUGGGGGAGCGAACAGG
rnacentral:rRNA from 1 species